GAAGCUACACAAGGCAGUAGGGGACUGAAGAAAAGACCCAUUUAGUUCCAGGUUCCUAAAGCUCGCUGCUAUUCCACUCCUGGCUGGCUGUGUCUGGGAUCCAGGGCUCUGUCCCAGGGGGCUGGUCAGCAAACUGGCAUUGGCACGCUGCCAUAAAGUGGGUCCAUGUCAGUGCAAGUGCCUUCAUUGGCUCUCCUGCAGCCUGCUGCAGCUUCUCUCCUUUUGGUCCUGGUGCAGCAUGUUCUUUUGCAGCAGCCCUUCUCUUGCCACGCUUUCAGUCCCCGGCGGUAUCCCACCAGCUCCACACUUCUCUUGGCUCCCAUCUCUCAGGUAAAAAGAAAAUAGGACAAUGGCUCAAGCUACAAAUAUCAGCUGAGAGAAGCAGCCAUUAUUUGUAAAAAUGUUUUGGCUGUGCGCCCAGCCAAACCAGAAAUAUGAACAAAAGAUAAGAGGAUACACUGGUGAAGAAAGCCAUCCAAUUAAGAUGAAUUGUCUAGAGUUUAACAUGACUUAAUCAUUUAAAUAACUUCAGUUCCUCUACACCACCCACACUCAUUUCUUUGUGUAUUACAUAUUCUGUCAUACAUUUCUCCUUCAAAUAAUAAAAA